rnacentral:rRNA from 1 species
GACAGAGGGGGCGAGCGUUGUCCGGAGUCACUGGGCGUAAAGCGCGCGCAGGCGGCAACCUUAGUGUCGUGUGAAAGCCCCCGGCUCAACCGGGGGAGGCCAUGGCAAACUGGGUCGCCCGAGCUGCGGAGAGGCUCCUCGAAUUGCCGGUGUAGCGGUGAAAUGCGUAGAGAUCGGCAGGAAGACCAAGGGGGAAGCCCGGGGGCUGGCCGCAGGCUGACGUGGAGGCGCGACAGCGUGGGGAGCAAACCGG